GCUUGAGUGGUGUUGCUGUUACAGUGUGAUUUGAAAUCACUGCCAGAAACACUGGAAAUGACAAAUUGUGAAGCCAGAGAUUUGUUUGAACUGAAGAACCUGAAGCAGUUUCUAGAAUUACUUGCAUGCUGAAGCAGUUGAGAAGAAGCAAUGGAGCACCCAGCAGUACAGUGCCAGAGCACGGAGCUUUCUUGCUGGUAGCUGAGGAAGAGCUGAGACCACAGAAAAGGCUCACCAUACCACUGACAGCUGUGACAACUCUCCUGCUCAUGGGCUCUCACCUUGCAGGAAGACAUCCAGGUUUCGCACGCGGCCGGCUGCCCAGGCGCUUCCCACAUGGCAUCUGUAGUCCCUGAUGUCUGCAGGGAGCAAAGGGAAGGAUGAGUGCCUUCAAGCUGUGAUGCAGUUAGGACACAAGCUCUGUGCAUGGCGUCAGCACCCCCCUCACCUGGAAUGAUCCCUCCGGUGUUUGCAGUGGUGAUGUUAUCAGAGCCUGGGGAAGAGCCAUGGAACCCUGGUUUGGCCUCAUGGAAGGUAGGAACGUUUUCACUAUAUUUUUUUUAGAAAAUGGUUUACUUGCAUUAUUAAAGGUAUGAUUGCUUUUUUGAGAAUCCGAGGAGGGGUUCCAUGUGUGAACAACGCAUGCAUUUAUAAGCCAUGCAAAGUAAUGUGCUGUGUCCCAUGUCUGAACACAGUGGGAAAUGGAUGUGCAUUUAAACAACACUCCCUCCUCCC
rnacentral:lncRNA from 1 species